rnacentral:lncRNA from 1 species
AUUGCCAUUAUAUGUUGCAUGUUGAUAUAUUGAUAUUAUGCAAUGUAGAAGGUUUUUUAUUGGCUUUUCGUGCGCACACUCUAUUGUACCACAUGAACUUACCGACAAAUCAACAACAUAUAAAACUAAUAUUGUAAAACACUUAUAGCCAAACUUUUUUUUUUAUAUUCAAUAUAAUUUAAGUAAAAACAUUCAGAAUAUGCUUGAACUAUGUACCAUUUUGAUUCUACUAUUACCCCCAAAAUAAAUCUGACUUCAAAAUUUAAGCUAAUUAUUUAAUUUAGUGAAUUUAUAGCUGUGAAAAUUAUAUAAAAAAAUACUAACUAAGCUUGUAAUGAUAAAUGAUGUAUUUAGAUUUUAAAAUUAAAAUGUUAUUGGCUGAAUCAAAUUAAAUAAAUUGGAGGCUCACUAGUAGAAUCAAACUUUGAAAGUUUGGAUAGCCAAAUCAAAAU